rnacentral:rRNA from 1 species
GAUGAACGCUGGCGGCGUGCCUAAUACAUGCAAGUCGAGCGAACAGACGAGGAGCUUGCUCCUCUGACGUUAGCGGCGGACGGGUGAGUAACACGUGGAUAACCUACCUAUAAGACUGGGAUAACUUCGGGAAACCGGAGCUAAUACCGGAUAAUAUAUUGAACCGCAUGGUUCAAUAGUGAAAGACGGUUUUGCUGUCACUUAUAGAUGGAUCCGCGCCGCAUUAGCUAGUUGGUAAGGUAACGGCUUACCAAGGCAACGAUGCGUAGCCGACCUGAGAGGGGUAUCGGGCACGCUGGGAGUGAGACCCCGGCCAGACCUCCACGGGGGGCAGGAGUAGGGAAUUUUCCGCAAUGGGCGAAAGGCUGACGGAGCAACGCCGCGUGAGUGAAUGAGGUCUUCGGAUCGUAAAACUCUGUUUUUUGGGAAAAAAAAAUGUUUUAGUAACUAUGGACGUCUUGGCGGUACCUAAUCAGAAAGCCACGGCUAACUACG